rnacentral:rRNA from 1 species
GAUGAACGCUAGCGGCAGGCUUAACACAUGCAAGUCGAGGGGCAGCGCGGGAUAGCAAUAUCCUGGCGGCGACCGGCGGAAGGGUGCGUAACGCGUGAGCGACAUGCCCGUUGCCCGGGGACAACCGGUGGAAACGCCGACUAAUCCCCGAUGGGAUACGAUGCUUCAUGGCAUUGUAUUGAAAGUUACGGCGGCGACGGAUUGGCUCGCGUCCGAUUAGCUGGUUGGCGGGGUAACGGCCCACCAAGGCUGCGAUCGGUAGGGGUUCUGAGAGGAAGGCCCCCCACAAUGGGACUGAGACCCGGCCCAUACUCCUACGGGAGGCAGCAGUGAGGAAUAUUGGUCAAUGGGCGGAAGCCUGAACCAGCCAUGCCGCGUGCGGGAAGGAGGCCCUAUGGGCUGUGAACCGCUUUUGCCUGGGGGCAAUAAGGGCGUCGCGCACGUCCGAUGAGAGUACCAGGCGAAUAAGCAUCGGCUAACUCCGUG